AGACGAUGAUCUGGAUAAUAUUGUUGAAAACUUUCAAAGGAGAUUUUGGAAGUGUCAAAAUUUAGGGUUAAUGUCUGGUUGUAAGUUAUUCUUUCGGGACGAUGAGCUUGAACAAAAUUCAGCUAGUAAUAUUAGAAGUUUAAGUGGGUGCAACUGCUCGUAUUCAUUGUUAAGUAGAUUGAGAUUGACAAAAAGACAAAGAUGA